rnacentral:antisense_RNA from 2 species
CUUGACCGAGCCGAGCCACAGCGGGCGGUCGGCGGGGCGGUCCUGGCCGUACGUGGCGAGCAGGGCCUGUGCCUC